UACGAAGGGAGCUAGCGUUGUUCGGAAUCACUGGGCGUAAAGCGCACGUAGGCGGCUCGUUUAGUCAGGGGUGAAAUCCCGGAGCUCAACUUCGGAACUGCCUUUGAUACUGGCGAUCUCGAGUCCGAUAGAGGUGGGUGGAAUUCCUAGUGUAGAGGUGAAAUUCGUAGAUAUUAGGAAGAACACCGGUGGCGAAGGCGGCCCACUGGAUCGGUACUGACGCUGAGGUGCGAAAGCGUGGAGAGCAAACAGG
rnacentral:rRNA from 1 species